UCCGGUGUAGAUGACGACAAGGAAACACCUGUUCCCAUACCGAACACAGAAGUUAAGCUUGUUGGUGCUGAAAAUACUUGGCGGGAAACUGCCCGGGAAAAUAGGAAUAUGCCGGAA
rnacentral:rRNA from 1 species